ACCCGAGGAGUGAAGGAAACUUUCGCGAAAAUAACGCUCGAAAGUCCAAAAAAUAGUGCACGGAAGUAACGCUCCGAAGUCCAAUUGGAUAUGGAUUAUGGAGCAAACUCAGCAAAGGCGAAGGUUACGAGUAGAUCGAGUUACGACUUACCAAAGUAAUAGUUUUAAAAUUAAGAACAGUGGGAGCGCGAUGAUGAUUCUUGAUUGAUUUUGUUUGAUCUCCGUCUCUCUCUCAUCUUCUGUUUUCUCUUCUUGGUUCUUAUUUUAUACCAAUUGGGUUUUUGAAGGAUGGAACCGAUGGAUAUCGUUGGGAAAUCGAAAGAGGAUGUUUCUCUUCCGAAAGCAACUAUGUUUAAGAUCAUUAAGGAGAUGCUACCACCAGAUGUUCGUGUUGCAAGAGAUGCUCAAGAUCUUCUUGUUGAGUGUUGCGUUGGUGAGUUAAAAUAGCUGCAACUGUGGUUAUGUUGAUAGGGAUGAAUACCAUUUCCUGUACUUCCCCUUGAUCAGUGUAUCUAGCUGCCACUUUGUUUCCCUUUUUGAGCAAAAAGGUUUUGAAUUGUUCUAUGGAAUGGAGCUAGUUUUCAAUUUCCUUGCCAUUUUAAUUUCAUGAAAGUUUUGAAUUUGCAUAUACUUUCAAUUUUCAUUUUCGCUUUGUAAAUGAUGGUAAAUAUCUCUAUACAUA